rnacentral:tRNA from 1 species
CGGGGUGUGGCUCAGCUUGGCUAGAGCGUUGAUUUGGGAUCAAGAGGUCGCAGGUUCGAAUCCUGUCACCCCGA